AGCAUUUCAUUUGAAAUGCUGGAUUUGGCCAAAUAACAUAUUUGGAUAACCCCAAAUAUUUGGAUUUAAAAUUAGACCAAUUCCAACCUACUUAAAACAUAAGUCCCUUUUUUAGAAUUUGAAAUCCAAUCACUCUUUAGGUUUUCUCUCUCCUCAAGCUUAGGGACGUUGCGAGCUUUCUCUCUCCUCAAACUUUCUGUCGUCGUCGAGCUUUCUGUCUCAUCAAGCUUUCUCAUGUGAAGCUUUCUCUCCUCCUUUACUGCGGAAUCUCAUUUCUAAGCACAUAUGCUUUCACGAUGUUUGCUCGUGUUUUUAUUGCAGGUAUGACCCUUUUUGAGGCCGAGUAAUGCGAGACAUGGCUCAAGGGAACGAGCUAGAGGAUGAGAGGGAGCAUGAGGUGCGCUUGGAAUCCCCCGCACACGAUAGUGCGCCCGCACAUGCCACUGGUGCACCCGCAUCAUCGACCAAUCCUGAAGCAGAUUACAGACGACCUUGGUGCGCCCGCACCAAGCACUGGUGCGCCCGCACCAGCUACGGAGGAUUUUCACCAUGAGACAGAUGACGCAGGUGCACCCGCACCUUUGCAUGGUGCGCCCGCACCUUUGCAUGGUGCGCCCGCACCUUUGCAUGGUGCGCCCGCACCUUUGCAUGGUGCGCCCGCACCUUUGCAUGGUGCGCCCGCACCAUGCGUUCCGGAAAAAAAAGAUUUAGAUCAUUAAACCCUUUGUCUCUUGGAGUUUAAGGAGUUACGUUUCAUGGUAGUUUUUACACAACAUUCUAGGGUUUUGUAUAGAGAGAAAACACUUUAGUUUGAUUGAGAUUUGAGAAUUGUUAAUCAUAGUUUGUGAUUUCCAAUACAUUCAAUGUACUUUUUAUGCAAUUUAAUUCAAAGUUUUAGUUUUUAUUUCA